AUGGAAACCGCGCCUCCCAACUACGAAUCGUAAGCCCUACUUACUACGCUGCCGCGACGGGUGAUAAUUUUAUUUGAUAGUGAAUGCCACUUUUUUAUUUUUAAAAGAGACAUGUCCACGUGUUGUGGAUUCCGGAAAUUUAUGUGUUUGUUGUGCCAGACGUUUCCGGUUUCUUUGUCUCGUGGAUUUCGUUCAGGUGUACCCGCUAGACUUAUUUUGAAUUUUCCAGUACCUCGUGGCACGAAACUUGAAAAUACAUCUUCAACUUGUUGUCCAGACUAUCGAUUCGUCAAUGGAAUAUGUAUAGAUUGUCCGUUGGGAUACUUUGGACCCAAUUGUGCAUACAGCUGUUCAUAUCCAUAUUAUGGACGGCGUUGUCAUGAAAAGUGUAUGUGUGAUAAAGACAAAUGUGACAUUUCAUUUGGAUGUGCAUCAAGCAAACAGUUGCCCUCAGAUAUUGCAUCUUUUACAACGACGAAUAUUCCAAAGUCAAAAAACGAAUCUACUUCUGGACAACAAAGUAUCAAUAAUUCAAAACAUCCUGAAGAAAAUGGAAACAGUCCUGAAGAGAUUAAAAACGGUUCAGCGGAUAAAACCGGUUCAGCGGCUGUCAUCGCCGUCAUAUCAGUUAUCGGUGUUCUUGUCAUCAGUUUGCUUGUAACAAUUAUAAUCUUCCAACUCAGAGGGAAAAUACAUUUGCGUCUACAGAAAUCACCAAAUCGAGGCUCUAAUGUGACCAGUCAACGACACGUUGACACUUACUGUGAAAUUGACGACAAUGAGGCGACAGAGGGCGCCUGUAACAUGUGGAGUGAAUCUGAAAUUUACGAACAGAUCAACCAAUCACAGAAGGAUGCUACUAAAUACACAGCUCUACCGCCCCGUGAAGGCGUCUCAAAGAAGGAGAGGGCAAUAAUGUCUACUCUUUCUAUGCAGAAAAUACUGGAGGCAGACGAUGAUGAAGACACGUGUAAAACCGAAGUGCAAAUGAGAAAAGGCAAGAGCAAUGUUCAAGUUCCUCUAAACAGAACGGACAAAACUUCCACUCAAGUCAGUGGGUAUAUCGACAUGAAUAAAGAAAAAGAACUAGAGGAUUACGUUCACAUGGCCGCAGAAGAACGAGUAUCUGACAAAGAUUCACUGAGCAAAGACUGAUAAAGUAAUCUGGGGAUCAUGAAAAAGUGGUAGAUAGAAAGAAAAACAUACAUAUAAAAACUAUGUAUUUCAAUAACUUUAUUUACAUAUAUUGGAAUGUACAUAUUCUGCAGUUCAUUUAAUGAAAGAAAGGGAUGCGAUAUGAAACAAUUUAAUUUGAAAUAUCAUGAAAAAGUGAAGAUAACGAACAGAGAUCAAUCUCAGAAACUUUGUUGCAAAGUUUUAAGAGUAGGGCAAACAUGACCCUUGGACAUACCAGAGGUGGGAUCAGGUACCUAGGAGGAGUAACAUCCUCUGUUGACCGGUCACAUCUGCCAUGAGCCAUACAUAUUGAUCGGGUAAAGAGAGUAAUCCGUAGUCAAAAUCAGAGUGUAAAGAACGAUCUAACAAUUGGUGUGACACACGUCAGACAGCAUUCGACCUUGGUUAUUAUAUUGGGGACCAAACAAUGUAUUUCAAUAACUUUCUAGACAUGUAUCAGGAUUCAUAUUGUCUACAAUUCAUUCCCUGAAAGAAAGUGAUGUUGUUUAAUACUUGUGAUGAAGAUAGUAAUCCAGUUGACUUUUCAGUUAACAAUUGCACAUUAUGAAUAUAUGUAUUUGAUUAUUUAUUUCCUCAGUUCACAGUAUUCAUUGGCGAUUGAACAAAUGAUACUCAUAUAAAGUAAAUGUUAAUAAAUAUCAAUAAAUAAACAAAUGCACUGAUCGAUUAACCCACUUAUCCAAAUAUAAGUGUGUGUUAUUACCAUCACUUGGCGUACAUUUGUUGGCGUCAGUGUUUCAAAACAAAUGCAUUCAAAAUAUUUUCCAGACUGCUUGAAUUCCCAACAGGUCACCAAAUUCAAAUGUUAACGUUCUACGUUCUCAUGGUUCUGUAUCAACAUUCCGAUAUGACUCCGUGUUAGAAGUGAUCCUCAAUACCCCUGGCUUGUCGUAAGUGACGACUAAGUGGGAUGGUCCUUCGAUAAAGACAGCAAAAACCGAGGUCUCGUGUCACAGCAGGUGUGACGCAAUAUAGAUCCCUCCUUGCUCAACGACCGUAAGCGCCAAUCAUAGUCAUAGGCCUAAAUUUGCAGCCCAUCACCGGCAUUAGAGACGCUCCCGAUCUCGAGCGGGACCUUAAACAAUAUACAACCAAUCAAUGUGGCUAUCAUAGCUGUUGAUUGAAUUCUUCUCGAGAACGACUGCAUUCGUAAUCAUUCCAUCAGUUACAAAUUUUCUUCUGUAGUUCCGUAGAGAUAUUACUACUUUUCAUUGACCGAUAUGCGAAAAUACAUGGUAAUUCCUUUGUAUCAUCUAAGCAUAGCCUGCAGGACUUAUAACAAUGCGCCAAUGUUUUAUUUUUUUUUAGAUGUUCAAGACGAUACAAAUAUGUAUUUUCAGCAUAUAGCCCCGUCCUAGUAGAGGUAUCCAUGCUUAAUAUACUACUUAAUUCAACUACACUAGCGCAACGAGUAAUGUUAAUUUAGGUCAAUCAUUAAUUUUGUAUGGAUUAUAAUAGCGUCAUGAGUGCUUGAGGACAGAUUGAAAUCAUUGCAAGAGGCUAUUUAUGUUGAUAAUUUUCAUGCCCUUUUCUUUGUGUAAGUACAUGGAUAUAUUAAGAUGGUCAAAAUUACUCAUAACCAUGCAUUCAGUGGAUAAUACUUAAAAUCUAUAGCUUUCAUUUUUUUAAAUAAUUGGUUUGAAAAUCAUACUGUAAAUAUAUAGUAAGGGUUUUCAUGGAUAUACAUGGUCAUAAUUAUUGACAAGCAUGUACAUACCUGCUUGUAAUUAAUCAUAAACAUGUCGAUUGAACGAUUCAGUUGGACUUAAAUGAAUGAAAUAAAAAGUACCACUUGGGAGAUGAUGGGCGUUUAGGAAAUAUACCUAAUGGUUUCCGUUACAAUUAGCACUAAUUAACAUUAAUUACACUUGUAUUUGUACACACAUAGAUAGUUUGUGUAUUUACUUCAUGGCAAGGUGGAAUCCGUACAUUGUUUGCUAUGUUACACUUAUAAAUGUUGUAAGCUCAUGUAUUUAACUUCCCACUUUCUUGAAGUUAUUUAUAUAAUACUCAAACUAUUGACGUCUCCAUAUGCGUGAAAUAUUCUCCAGAGGGACGUUAAACAACAUACAAUCAACUCAAACUAUUGUUGAUUCAUAAGCAAAUACAUAACCAAGAGAGGAGUUACUCCAUUUAGGGUUAACAUAUGUUAUUCUGAAUUGGAGCAUCUAGUUUUGGACUGUGUAGGUCAAGGACUUUUCCACUGUUUAAGUCCGUUCUGGGUUAAGGAUGGCGGAUAAAAAGCGUACCCAGUGUAUGAAAGGUGAAGAUAACGAACAGUGAUCAAUCUCGUAACUCCUAUCAGGAAUACAAAAUAGAGAAUUGGGCAAAUACAGACCCCUGGACUUACCAGAGGUGGGAUUAGGUGCCUAGGAGGAUUAAGCAUCCACUGUCGACCAGUCACACCCGCCGUGUGAGCCCUAUGUCUUGAUCAGGUAAACGGAGUUAUCGGUAGUCAAAAUCAGUGUGCCAAGAACGGCCUAACCAUCGGUAUAUUGGCAAACUAGAUCAUUAUAAUGACCAUAUAAUUUGCGAAAUGCUUACUUUGAACGAGACUGUUGAAACCCCUGUAACAUCAACUUGUUGGUCAUCAACUUGUAUGUAUUGGAUCAGCUUACUGUAUUGUUGUAUCUAGUCCGGACUGUUCAUACUGUGGUGGCAUGAUAGAAAGCUUCGCAAAACGCGAUUAUGAACCCCUGUUCACCAUGAUCAGUGCAGUAGCCAAUCAAAAUGCUGAUUACAAUAGAGAUUGGUAAAUAGUCCAUUCAUAAACAGUUAAUUGUGACAUAUUGUUGCACUCCCUGUUAUGAUGUGUGUCAUUUUAUAAAAUGAGUACCAGCACAAGUAUUGGUUUUAAGAAAAUGUGGAAAAAAUCAUUGAAAGAAUUAAUUUGAGAUGAUAGAAAAUUUACUGGAUUUGGCGUAAAUGUUUUGUUCCACACUAAAGGCAUUGGUAUCAUUAACGUUAGUGUUACGGACAUGACAAUCAUAACGCUUAAAGCUAUCCUAGUGUGAAGACCUGUUUAGAAUUUGCCUUUUGCAAGUUGCAUUGUCAUUCAAAUUGGUUUUCAUUUUCUCUCCGUUUUUUUUUGUAUGCGAAAUUGUGAUAAAAUGUAUAUAGGUAUAAAUUAUGGUAAAUUGUGGAUGAUUGUAUAUUUAUGUGUCACUUGCGAUUUAUGUGCCUGUUCUACAUGGAUAUAUCAAACAGAGCAACGCAUGAUGUGAAUCCACAUGAGAUAAAAUACAUGCAUUAAAAUAUUUCAGUGCAGUUUCUGUUUCAAACUUGCACUGUAAGCAUUUAGUUUCAAAACACAUUUUAAAUCUGUUGUACUCAAUUUCUGCUUUGUAUAUCAACAUUUCGUCAGGUUUACCGAUCACUUUUACACAAAAGCUAAUAAAAACCGUAAUUAUGGGAGCUGAAUUUUGGUGCUGUUCUGUGAAUGCAUAUACAAUGAAAUUAAAUGUACUACAUGUACAUGUAUCUACACAACAUGUAAACGAAAUAUUCCCUUAUAAAAGUUAAACUCAUUUCGGUGAGAACAGUAGUUUACGUAUUGGUUAAACUGAUUUAACAUGGGAACUGAUCGUAAUUGUUGCUGUACAUGAUAAAUACAAAUAUCACUAUGGGUGUUUUUACUGACACCAUCAUGUCUGAUCCUGUGCAACAAUAAAGCUUUGAUCAUGAGUGCACACUAUCGAGGUCCUGUUUCGGAUACAUCAGAUUGCCUUUCAAUUCCAACUUUAUUAAAAAACAUUAUUUGAAAUCACGAGAUGCCUGACCUGUAUAUGUAUGAAAGAGCUUUACCUAAAGGGAAAUGAUGUAAGAUAAGUAUGUCUCCAAAUUCUAUUUUAGGAAUAUAAUCCUGUAUCAUUGAAAAGAGCAAAGGUAACUCUUGCAUUCGGUGAGAAUAUCCUUGCAGUAACUGUUGCGAAAAUUCAUUUCCUCAUUUUUGUUCAAACGAUAUUAUUAAAAUAUCAGCCUUGAUUAACUAUCUCCCAAAGCAAGCAUGUUUUCAACGGCUCUGAUGCUUUUGUGGAUAACAAAAGUUUUAAUUUCUCAACAGUCAUCUGUAGAAGAGAAUUGCUUAAAGUAAGAUAUUUAUAAUACAAUAUUUUUAGCAUGACAAUAUGUGGUAAUACAAAAAUACAGGUAGUUUGUACAUAGUAUAUGAGCUCAUUUGUUGAACAUUUAACCAUUUGUCGUGAUCAUGAAACAUCGAAGAAAUUUGCAGUUGAUUUACAUAUUUGUAGAACUGGUCAAGGAACAUCCUGUUGUGCGGACUAUUACAAUCUUGCGGGAAAAUGUGUUCCUUGUUCGUCGGGAAAAUUUGGACCCAACUGUAUACACACCUGUCAAUACCCAAAAUACGGACGCCGAUGUUUGGAGGGGACAUGUCAAUGCCCACGAGAGUUUUGUGAUCCAUCCCUUGGUUGUAGAGAACAAAAGCAAACAAAAGGAGUUCUCUCGACUCUGCUGACAAUGGAUUCCUUGUCUGUUUCAAAUUCUGAAUCAACUCUUGAUACAACAAAUGUAAACUCUGCAACCCAAUCGAAACCAGACCACACGAAAUAUAUCUCAAAUCCAAGUUCUUCCUUGGUGAUAAUCAUCAUUUCAGUAAUUGGUGUAAUCGUUGUCGGGUUAUUUGUUGCAGUUGUAUUCUUUCAGCUGAGAGUAAGAAUCAAAUUACGAUUUCAUAAACCGCCCAAAAGAGGUUCUCUUGUAUCGUCCCAACGACAGGUACAUGUAGAUACCUAUUGUGAAAUAGAAGACAGCGAGAUGGUUCAGGAUGGAAGUAACACCGCGGAAACUGAACCAGAGGUUUAUGAAAUCAUUGAUCAGUCUAAAAAGGACGUAACAAAGUAUGCAGCUUUGCCGUCCAGAAAUAGUGUCUCUAAGUAUAGAAGUAAAACACCAUCCACUUUCUCACUGCAAAAGAUACUGGAAUGUAAUGAAGAGGAUAAAAGGAGAGGGGUACAGAUGAGAAAAGACAAAACAGAUGUGCAAAUUUCACAAAAAAGACUCGGUAAAACCUCUGCACAAGUCAGUGGGUAUAUUGAGAUGGAUAAGAGGACACAGGAGGAUUACGUCUCCAUGGAUGGCGAUAGCCUCGUCAGCGCCAUCGCUGUAUCUAGCGAAAAUGUUGAAAUUGACAAAACAUUUAAUGGUAAUGGAGAGUCAAAUGCAUAAGAAUAUGAGCUUUUAAAAAAACCCUCCAAAUAUGAAUUAUGUUGGGUGUAUCUGAAUAAAUUUCAAAUAAGUA